rnacentral:tRNA from 1 species
AGAGUAGCUCAGUGGUAGAGCCGCGGACUCAUAAGCCGUUGGUCGGCGGUUCAAAUCCGCCCUCUG